GAUGAACGCUGGCGGCAGGCCUAAUACAUGCAAGUCGAACGGGAUCUGAGGGUAGCUUGCUACCCGAUUUGAGAGUGGCGCACGGGUGCGUAACGCGUGAGCUACCUACCCAUAUCAGGGGGAUAGCCCGAAGAAAUUCGGAUUAACACCGCAUAAUAAUACGCUAACACAUGUUGAUGUAUUUAAAUAUUUAUAGGAUAUGGAUGGGCUCGCGUGACAUUAGCUAGUUGGUAAGGUAACGGCUUACCAAGGCGACGAUGUCUAGGGGCUCUGAGAGGAGAAGCCCCCACACUGGUACUGAGACACGGACCAGACUCCUACGGGAGGCAGCAGUAAGGAAUAUUGGUCAAUGGGCGCAAGCCUGAACCAGCCAUGCCGCGUGCAGGAUGACUGCCCUAUGGGUUGUAAACUGCUUUUGUUAGGGAAUAAACCUUCUUACGUGUAAGGAGCUGAAUGUACCUAAAGAAUAAGGAUCGGCUAACUCCGUGCCAGCCGCCGCGGUAA
rnacentral:rRNA from 1 species